UCAGGAUGUUAGCUCUGAGGAUGUUAGUACUCAGGAUGUUAGCUCUGAGGAUGUUAGCUCAUAGGAUGUUAGCUCUCAGGAUGUUAGCUCUCAGGAUGUUAGCCCUCAGGAUGUUAGCUCUCAGGAUGUUAGCCCUCAGGAUGUAAGCUCUCAGGAUAUUAGCUCUGAGGAUGUUAGCUCUCAGGAUGUUAGCUCUCUGGAUGUUAGCCCUCAGGAUGUUAGCUCUCAGGAUGUUAGCCCUCAGGAUGUAAGCUCUCAGGAUGUUAGCUCUGAGGAUGUUAGCUCUCAGGAUGUAAGCUCUCAGGAUGUUAGCUCUGAGGAUGUUAGCUCUCAGGAUGUUAGCUCUCUGGAUGUUAGCUCUCAGGAUGUUAGCUCUAAGGAUGUUAGCCCUCAGGAUGUUAGCUCUCAGGAUGUUAGCCCUCAGGAUGUUAGCCCUCAGGAUGUUAGCUCUCAGGAUGUUAGCCCUCAGGAUGUUAGCUCUUAGGAUGUUAGCUCUCAGGAUGUUAGCCCUCAGGAUGUUAGCUCUCAGGAUGUUAGCUCUCAGGAUGUUAGCUCUCAGGAUGUUAGCUUUAAGGAUUAUCAGUUCACCAUAUUGAAAUAAAGUCAUCUGACCUGAGCAGGAGGACAAAUCAGAUAUCAACAACAGGAAAUAGAAACAUCAUCACUGUCUUUCGACGUUCUCUUCCACAUGUAAAUCAUAUUUAAGAUCAGGAUAAGGAUUCAGUCAUUAAAGGAGCUCUGUGGAUUUACAGAGCAGUCAAAGUCAGCCAUCAUGACACACCUGAGAGAGUCACACAGCUCUGCAGCAGAGAUCAGGAGGAAACAGGAAGUGACAUCAUUAAACAUGGUGAUGAAAAACGUGUGUUACAAAGGUGAUGAGUAAUCUCUGGAUCAAUCAGGAGGUGAAAACAAAGAGCUCGCACCUGCUUAGGUAACCGUCUCCAGCUUGCUCUGCUGACCACACAGGCUGGAACCCUACAAACGGAGAGGUUCAGUUCAGGGACUGAACUAGCUGAGGGGACUCCUGUCAGUCAAAGAGGCCCCACCCCUAACCCUCCCUUUAACCCUUAACCUGCUGUAAACAGGAACUGCAGGAGACACACUCUAGUGGACACUGGAGGAACUGCAG